UUCAGACAUUUUUCUUUUAACCCGUCGUCCACAUAUUUUGACGGUUUUAUUUUUGUUUUUAUCGUAUUGAGCCUUUUUUGCGCACUUUCCUAGCGCAAAUGUGUCACCCUGGAGAGUCUGAGCCGCUGUGAAAAGGAUCCAGACGUGAGCUCCUGUCAUGGAAGGAGAGGAGAGGGAGAAGAGGAGCAGCUCCAUCACAUGACAGACGAUGUGCGUCGGUGCCUCUGAGUCUCAUUAGUCUGCAGCGCAGAAGACGAUCUACAGGGGCUGACGCACCAAUUCCUGACACAAUCCGGCUAAAUGCAAGAGGCGACACAGCUUCAGCCUCUGAGGCCACUUCUCUGGAGGAAGUCAACACAAAUAGCUGCAACAGUUCAAACAAUAACUGCACAAAUGGAGGCGGACAUACAACAAUGAGGUGUCAUCCGGAGUUCUCCGGUGUUUGUGAGUACUUCAACCACCAAACAUCUCCUGUGACUCCAGCUCAGGGCCAGGUUUCUGCCUUCUUGCCCAGCUAUGGCUCCCCCUAGCCGUGCCUCCAUAUUUCCUUGUUAGUGCACACCAUACUGCCCUGACCCUCCCUCGUCUAUUACGCAUUAAAUACACCAAGAUACACCUGGAAACCUCAAUUUCUCGGUCGAAAUGUUGAGUCUAUAGCCUCCAUGUGCCUCCCAGCCAACAUUGGGCUCCAUUGGCCAAAGCACAGCAGAGGAUU